rnacentral:lncRNA from 10 species
UCCUCCUUCACUUCUCCUUUGGUCUCAUCUAUUUUAGCCUAUUUGUUCUUUCUCAUUAAUGUUUACGCAGGUUCAAAUCUUCCCUAACAUAAAAAGAUUCCUCAGGUCUUACCUCUUGCUCCAGCUACUUUGUUCUUCUAUCUUUCAUAAGUAAUUUCCUAGGAAGACUUGUUUACAAUCAAUGCCUUUGUCACCAUUUACUCCUCAAUCUAUUGCCUCUGACUUCUUGUCCACACACACACAUGAGGGCACAUAUUUGUAUGUGGAUGUGUGUGUGCACAUACACACACACACACUGAUAUACAAACACAUACACAUUUUUGUAAAUGCUCAUUACUUCUUUAUGAUUAAUUCACAAUAGUGGAAUUGCCGAGUUAAAGGAUAGGUCACAUCUUAACCUUUUCAAAAAGCCGUGCUUGGACUUCUACCAGCGGGGAGCCAGAGUACUUCACUCCAAGGUCAUUGCUGAAAGUGGCAUAUUAUCAUUUAUUAAAAUGUAGCCAAUUGGAGAAAGGAGAAUAACAGUGUUGCAAUGUAAUAUGGGUUAGCUCUGUGUCUCCACCCAGAUCUCAUCUUGAGUUGUAGUUCCCAUAAUCCCCACGUGCCAUUGGAGAGACAGGGUGGAAAGUAAUAGAAUCAUUAGAGUGAUUACCUCCAUGCUCCUGUUCUCAUGAUAGUGACUGAGUUCUCAGCUCUGAUAGUUUUAUAGGGAGAUUUUCCCCCUUUUGCUCAGCAUUUCUCUUUGCUGCUGCCAUGUGAAGAAGGACGUGUUUGCUUCCCCUUCCACAAUGAUUGUGAGGAUCCUGAGGCCUCCCCAGCCAUUCUGAACUGUUGCAAGUUUGAAAAACAGACCACUCUACUCAGGAGCUGUUUUGGUGGUGGAGAUGGAAAAGCAGAUCCAGAUAGAAGUAAACAAAAGAACUCUGAAAGGCAGGGAGUUAUAAGAUGGAUGGUUAUUCAGCCAGAGGGGAGAUGGAGUCAUGCCUCUCCUACUUAGGGCUGGGUCCAGAUUUUCCGUUCUCUACUUGUAAGUGAGAAAAAUGAAGCCAACCAUACCCUGCUCUGUCUACAACCUCUAGGAAGCUACAAGAGAGAGGUUAGAAUUGAAGAAGAGAAGACAAUGAAAUGGAACUACGCUUAAGAGUAAGGGAGAAAGGGAGAUUUACAAGUCAGAAGAGAGCGAAGAAUCAUUUUAAACAUGAGGCUUUUUAUUUCCUUCCUUCCGUCCUUCCUUCCUUCCUUCCUUCCUCCCUCCCUCCCUCGCUCACUCCCUCCCUCCUUUCCUUCAAGGGAUUCUCUUGCCUCAGCCUCUCAAUUAGCUGGGAUCACAGGCGCACGUCACCAAGCCCGGCUAAUUUUUUUGUAUCUUUGGUAGAGACAGGGUUUCACCAUAUUGGCCAGGCUGGCCUUGAACUCCUGACCUCAUGAUUUGUCCGCCUCAUCCUCCCAAAGUGCUGGGAUUACAUGCAUGAGCCACCACGCCUGGCCAAAACUUUCCCUUUCAAAACUAUAAUGUUGUUGGUAAGUUCUUCUUACUACCCCACUACCCACAAGCCCACCACUUUGUGAUGCCAGGGCUCUCACACCUUGCCUGGCACAAUUGUUAUUAAGGUUUUAAGGAUCAGAUAGUUAAGGUGAUUCUUAUAUAUAUUCCCAAUUACUUUCUGCAUAUUUGUAAGCACAUGCCUUGUUCCUACCUAAAACUAAGUAUUUCUAAAUGUAAAAUCAUAUUUUUUAAACAAUGCCAAAAUUAGAUGUCUAUUAUUUUUUAUCACAGCGACUAAAACAAUGACAUCAUCCUUAACCCCAACUUCCCCUCAUUUUCACACUGUUACUAAACUUUGAUUAAAUAUGAAGCUUUUUCAGUAGUAGCUGCCAUCAAGAAAUCUAUUUGUUAUUUGGCAAAAUUUAUCAUAAAAACAAUUGCUGAUGUAAUAUUUUCUUGCUUGGUAGUUGGUUGCUUGUUUUUUAUUACCAAUAGAAAUUUUGAUUUGUACAUAUUGGAAAAAUGUUAUAUGCAUUGGAAGAGAAGAAAUAUUUCUUUCUGUAUCUUAAAAGGCAUACAAAAGUAUGACUUUGCUCAACUGGAUUUCCUGGAACCAUCUAGGGGAAGGAAAUUAUCCAGAGCACUGAUACUAUAGGCCAUUUUGAAAAAAUGUCAGAUAAGUAAAGACCAAAGGAGUUGUCUAACGUGCAAUUGAGGGGGGCAAGGAUUUUAGUGAUGGUUACCAAGGGGGUCAGCUGAAGUUCUGAUCAUUUUAGGAAUUAUGGUUUAAAAUGCAUGGAAGAGACAAAGUUUGUUCUCACGAUUAUUAGCUGUGCUAAUAGCUAAUUAGAUCCACUAGUUUGAGUUUAUCAUGACUGGUGAAAAAGAAGUUAGUGGCUAAGGUCAUGUGCUAAAGGGGUUGAAAUGAAAUGGCUGAGUGGCAGGGACAGGAGAGGACCAGUGUGGAAAAUUAUCACCCUUCUGGGUCCUUCACGCUUUCCAAGCAGAACAAUAAAAGAAACAGCAACACACACACUGAGCAUGUUUCUAACAAUCAAUGCAGUCGAAUAUUUAAAAAUUAUUCUUGAAAUUUUUCAGAGGUGCUUGUUCAUUAGUCAGUUUAAUUUCAUUUCUUCCUAUCCAUAGAAUCAUUGGUUUCAAUGCCUUUCAAACAUAAAAUAUUCAAAACCUUCUAUGAAAAAACAUGUCUAGGUAUUACAGGAUACAUUUUCAAAUAGAGACAUAAUAUUUAUUUUAUUUGGAAGAAAAUAAAUUUAGUCUCCCUCAGCAGAAUAGUUCUGAGCUAAAGACUGAAUUUCUAAAACUGUUCAGCUACAACCUUUGCAGACUACAAUAUAUGAGUUAUCAGAAUUUUGAGACUUUCUGUUGAGGAGAAAAAGAAACCGAUACCCUAGAAAUUUUUAGAAGAUUUGAGUAGAGUGAUGUAGUAGCUAGUUUGGGAAAGGAAAUUUUAAUAAUUACUGCAUAUAGGUAAUAGGGAAAUUUAAGAAGCAUAAUUGUGUGAUUUUUUGGUGUGCCCUCCCUCUCAUUUUUAUCUCUUCAUAAAACUAUAAAUUCUAUAUUAUUUAUUAUAAUUGCAUGUGUAUUUGGGAUAUAGUUGGGAGUUGAGAGAUGACUUAAAUGAGAGCAGGCAAGCAGAAGGGGCUAGUUCUAAUUGAGUUACACAUAGAAAAAUUGUGGGAACUUUUCACAUAACAUUGUGAUUCUUAUCAAUAAAAUGUUAUUAAUUUUUUGAAUAUUAAUCUCAGUAACUAAGUGUAUUAUUCCAUUCUCACACUGCUAUAAAGAUACUACCUGACACUGGGUAAUUUACAAACA